rnacentral:rRNA from 1 species
UUGCCUUAGUAACGGCGAGUGAAGCGGCAAAAGCUCAAAUUUGAAAUCUAGCACUUUCAGUGUUCGAGUUGUAAUUUGAAGAAGGUAACUUUGGAAUUGGCUCUUGUCUAUGUUCCUUGGAACAGGACGUCACAGAGGGUGAGAAUCCCGUGCGAUGAGAUGUCCAAUUCUAUGUAAAGUGCUUUCGAAGAGUCGAGUUGUUUGGGAAUGCAGCUCUAAGUGGGUGGUAAAUUCCAUCUAAAGCUAAAUAUUGGCGAGAGACCGAUAGCGAACAAGUACAGUGAUGGAAAGAUGAAAAGAACUUUGAAAAGAGAGUGAAAAAGUACGUGAAAUUGUUGAAAGGGAAGGGCUUGAGAUCAGACUUGGUAUUUUGUGUUCCUUAUUCUUUUUGGAUUUGGUUCCUCACAGCUUACCGGGCCAGCAUCGGUUUGGAUGGUAGGAUAAUGACAUUGGAAUGUAGCUUUGCUUCGGUGAAGUGUUAUAGACUUUGUUGAUACUGCCUAUCUAGACCGAGGACUGCGUCUUUGACUAGGAUGCUGGCGUAAUGAUCUUAAGCCGCCCGCUAAAACCACGGGGC